GCGUAGGCGAGUGAAAUUGGGCUCAGAAUUUUCGUGGGGCCCAAGCAUCAAUUUAGAGGCAUUUAGUGACUUUGUGAUUUCGUAUGUAGGUGGCCAUGUUUUAAAUGCAGAGAGGCCCAUGCAAUAAGGUCAAACUUGAUUUAAUAAAUGAAUUAGCACUAGUGGCCUUAAAUAGUUUAAUCUGCUUUUUUCUUCUCUCUGAAAGUCGAUGGGAUCGAGAAGUUUCCCAUUUUCAGAUUUUGAGAUUUUGAAGUUUCAGAGACUUUCUCCUCGCCGCCUCGCCAAAUCGAAAGUUAUGUUGCGUUGAGUGAAGAGCUAUUCACAACAAUUUUCUUUUUAGAGCGCUGGCGGCGGAGAUGGUGGACAAUGUGCCGUUCUCGCCAAUUUUCGAAUGCAGCGGCGGCAGCGCGGCGGUUUCGCCGUCUCGAGUUUGGAGGCGGUGGUGGCGGAGACAGCCAUUCAUGGCGACGGUGAUUCCAGGAGGAGCUAUAGCUCGACUCUUUGGCGGAUAUGUUUCCGACGACUUGAGGUCGCAAAGACGGAGGGGGGCGAAGGUAAUCACUGUCCGUUGCCUUGUUGAAGAAACGGAGAUCAGUCGUGGCGGGGAUUUCUGCCCCAUUGUUGGUCGGAUUUAUGGUGAAGCUACUUCAGCCUAUUUAUUAUCUCCCUUUUUUUUUUUUUUUUUAAUUUGAGAGGGA
rnacentral:lncRNA from 1 species